GUGUCUUCUGCGUGACUCAGGACCUCGGUAGGGCAUGCACAGACCUGCCUGUCUGCAGCAGGCUGAUUCGACAUGUGUUCCGCAUGACUGGGGACCUCAGUAGGGUGUGGGCCAGACUUCUUUAAAUUUCUUGUCAGUUUCAGCAGUGAGACCAUGAGGACCUGAGCUUUUUUGCUGUUGUUGGCUGAGAAGUUGAUGAAGAGACGAACUCUGAUUUACCUUGUGCUUCCAAACUUGGGUCAUAGUUACUGCCUGCAAUUUCAACAAGCCUGCAGCAGAACAGGGGCUGAACGGCUAUCAAAGGAGCACUCCCCCACCCACCACCUGUACUUCCCCCAGAUGUGUCUCCAGGGUUUGAGACUUUUCUUCUCCAGGCCUGGAAGGUCUCAGGAAAGAAUUCUGUUCACUUCUUUUGCUUAUGGAGAAGAGAUAAGGCUGAGCCCGAGAGCAUCUGCAGCUUUCCAAAAAUGAGCUCAACUUUUAUAAGAGGAAUCACGCAGUUCUGAGAUUCACCAGGAGAACAAGAAAAGACAGUUAUGUGGCCCAUUGGAUAGAAUGACCCUAUGUGCAGGUAUUUUCCCUUGUUGCAUUCAUGACUGGACCUGUGGAAUCCAGGAACAGUUC
ensembl:lncRNA